GGGGAUGGUAUUAGGAGGUGAGGCCUUUGGGAUGUAAUUAAGUUUAGAUGAGUUCAUGAGGGUGGCGCUCCCACGAUGGGAUUAGUGGAUUUAUAAGAAAAGAAAGAGAUUAGAACUCUCUUCUCUCUUGGCCAUGUGAGGACACAGCAAGAAGACAGCUAUCUACCAGGUAGGAAAUGGGUUCUCACCAGACAUUAAGUCUGCUGACACCUUGAUCUAGGACUUCCCGGCCUUCAGAGCUGUGAGAAACAAAUAUUUGUUGUUUAAGCCACCCAGAGUCUAGUAUUCCAUUAUAGCAGCUUGAGUUGACUAGGACACUACGGAUUUGCCUAUUCUGGAUAUUUCAUAUAAAUGUGUGGCAUUUUGUGUUGUAUAAGUGUUAUUUUUUUCUUGUGGGAACAUUGGCCCUGAGUUAACAUUUGUGCCAAUCUUCCUCUGUUUCAUGUGGGAUGCUACCACAGUAUGGCUUGACGAGUGGUGCUGGGUCUGCUCCUGGGAUCUGAACCUACGAACCCCAGGCCACCGAAGCACAGCAUGCCAACUCAACCACUACACCAUCAGGCUGGCCCCUGCACAAGUGUUUUUGAUGGAAGGAAAUGUAAAGGUUGGAGAGCCAGAGUCCAUGGCCGAGGAAGAACAAAGAUCUCUCUCCCGGAUGCAGCCAGCUGCCAAUGUGCCGAAGUUCGGAGUGGUUCUCUCAUUGAAGGACAACAGAUCUCUCAAAUAACGGAUGAUUUACUGACAGUCUUGCUGAGUCUCGUGCAUGGAAAGAUGGACUGGGGUCGAAAGGACUAAACUGGAAGCAGCAUCAGGUGGAGAAGGUGGCAUCACCAGACAUCACCAGCUGUCACUAAGCCUUGAAGACAUCCAGGUGUGCUCCUCCAAGUUGUCAGUGCUUUCGGAGUCUGGUCUUGAGUCCUUUCUUUUCACAAAUGCUGUCAUUCAUUUACUUAGGUUAUGAUGAUGACGAUGAGCAAUGUAACUUCUACCUGGGGGUAGGGGCAGAGAACUAAAAGGAACAGUCAAGUAAUUUAAUGUAUUUUCCACCAUUUUUUACAAAAAGAUUGAAGGUGAUUUAAAAAAAUGAUUAAAAAACAAGAUAAAUUUAAUGCAGGAUGGAAUGCAGGGUACAGUAAGAUGAGGCACGUAAAAUGGAGGCAGGAAUGGUCAGCAAUUAGGAAUAGGGACUUUUAGUUCACACAGGCCAAAACUUCAGUCUAAGCCUCACUGGUUUACAAGCAGUUCUUAACUUCUCCUAGCUUCUGUUUGCUUAUCUACAAACUGGGAGUAACAAAUAUGUGGCAAGAUGACAUUUUGAAAUAUAACUGAGUCCUAUCCCCUGGCCUCCCCCCCGCAACACGUACAAACUUACAUGUUCCUGGGCUCCUGGCCCUUCCCAAUUGAGUGGGUGUGCAGAAAAGAGUUAACACUGCGGGCCCAACUGCUGAACCUUGGAAGGCCUGCUUUAAGGUUGGCCCUCGGCCAUGAUCUGGAAACUUGGAUUUGGGAAGGUUCC
rnacentral:lncRNA from 1 species